GAUGAAGAACGUAGCGAAAUGCGAUAAGUAAUGUGAAUUGCAGAAUUCCGUGAAUCAUCGAAUCUUUGAACGCACAUUGCGCCCCCUGGUAUUCCAAAGGGCAUGCCUGUUCGAGCGUCAUUUGUACCCUCAAGCUUUGCUUGGUGUUGGGCGUCUUGUCUCUAGCUUUGCUGGAGACUCGCCUUAAAGUAAUUGGCAGCCGGCCUACUGGUUUCGGAGCGCAGCACAAGUCGCACUCUCUAUCAGCAAAGGUCUAGCAUCCAUUAAGCCUUUUUUUCAACUUUUGACCUCGGAUCAGGUAGGGAUACCCGCUGAACUUAAGCAUAUCAAUAAGCGGAGGA
rnacentral:misc_RNA from 1 species